rnacentral:tRNA from 1 species
GGUAUAUAGCUCAGUGGUAGAGUGCUUGCCUUGCAUGAACAAGGCCCUGGAUUCAAUUCCCAGCACCA